rnacentral:ncRNA from 1 species
UUGAGCCGGAUGAAAGAAAACUUUCACGUCCGAUUUUGAGCUUAGGGGGGGGGGAGGAGGGAGAUCCUAUAGAAUCCUAUCUCAAU